AUUGCACGCUGGCGGCAGGCUUAACACAUGCAAGUCGAACGAGUGGCGGACGGGAGAGUAAUGCUUGGAAAUCUAGCUUAAGGAGGGGGAUAACUACGGGAAACUGUAGCUAAUACCGCGAACCAUAGGCUGAGCCCAAGGUGGAUUGGGUAGUUGGUGAGGUAAAGGCUCACAAAGCCGACGAUCUCUAGCUGGUCUGAGCGGAUGACCAGCAAACUCGUGACUGAGACCCGGCACAGACUCCUACGGGAGGCAGCAGUGGGGAGGAUUGCGCAAUGGGGGCAACCUGACGCAGCAAUGCCGCGUGAAUGAAGAAGGCCUUCGGGUGUUAAAGCACUGUAAGUUGGGAGGCGUUACCAACAGAAUAAGCACCGGCUAACGUCGUGCCAGCAGCCGCGGUAAUAC
rnacentral:rRNA from 1 species